rfam:Salmo salar isolate Sally breed double haploid chromosome ssa04, whole genome shotgun sequence.
UCCCAUGUGGCUCACUUGGUAGAGCAUGGCACUUGCAAUACCAAGGUUGUGGGUUUGAUUCCCAUGGGGGAC